AGGAAAGAGUGACAGCUGAAGACAUAAUUUGACAUCUGAAAUUAGCUAUGCACAUGUUAGUUUUUAUUUUACAAAAGCGACAGACAAGACCAAGUUCCAAAGGGGAAGUACCAGGGAUUUUUCUUUGGAAUUAUUGAUAGCUAAUGGACUCUCAUUCAUCAAAAACUUUAAGAAAAUUGUCUGAGUGGACUGAACAUAAUUUUGUUUGUAAGAAGAAUGUGAUGUACUGGUAUAUAGAUCACAAGCAAAGGUGUUGUGUAUUAAUUGCUAAUACAUGCUAAUCUGUAACUGAUAAAAAAUGAAUAUUGUGUUAUUAGAUUCAUGUUAUUUUAUCUUCCACAAUAUUUUUGGUUGCUAUUAUAUGAUGACGUUAACUGAUAAAAAAUCAAUAUUAUAUUGUGUUACUGAAUAAUAUUUUUAUAGGGUGAUGAAACUGUUUCUGGAUGCUUUGUUUAAAAAAAAAUACUUUGGUACAUUGAAAACUUGAAACAAAAAAAAGAAAGCUAUCUCAAUUGGCUACUGUCAAAAUAAAUGCAGAUCAAUGGCCUGUCAACUCUUUCUCUCUUAAUCCACAAUACCAUUGUUAAUUAUGAUGUAUGCUGUGUGAAACGGAAAGUGACCUCAAGACAAUUAAAUGUUUUAUAUAUGUUAUAUAUUAAGUUUUGUGAAAAUAUAAAUAACUAUCAUAAAAAAAAAUACUUUUAGUUCACUUUGGAUCAUAAAAUAUUACCUAGAUAUAGUUUCAAAGAGAGUUGUCCACAGUCAGUAAGUUUUUAUUUUUAAAUUCCAUUUUCCAAAUUUAACUUUUAUUUUGGUUUUAUAAACAUUUGUUUUAUCUUAUUAUUCCCCUUUAAUUCUAAACCAAAUAUAAUAUUUUCUGAUAACAAACAAAUAAAACUUAUCAAAGUAUAAUCAUAAGAGGGUAGUGAAAUACAUAUGAGCAAAAUGAAUAAUUCCGUGGGAACUUGGAAAAUAAUUAGGGAGAGUUAAAUUGGUCAAUGGGAGUUGAAAGAAUAAUAUCAAAUAAAAUAUGAGAAUAUAACUUUGGAACAAUAACUCUUACACUGUAAUUACCAGUAGCUGUAGUCAUCAAACACUGAUUCCAUUUGGCAGUAAGAUAAUAUCGGAGCCGGCUGUUGGGGAUUCCAAAUUGUAAUGGAGUCAGUAGAAACUCCUGAUAAGUGUAAUUACAAUAUUUCAAACACUCAAUCAGCUGACCUCUAGUCUCUGAUGUCUCAAACCCUUUGACAUUUUCUACAAGAAUGUACACAGGUUUUACUUUUAUCCUGGCAUAAAAUAAGAAAAAACACAUUUUAAUACAUCACCAGGUGAAACAUUGAAAAACUCCUACCUUAAAAAAAAGUAAGCAGAGAACAUACUGGUGGAUCCCUUAUAUGAAUUUUAAAAAUGUUAAUGUAGAAUAUUAUUUAUGCUGGUAUAUUAUAUAUUAUUUAUAUAUUAUAUAUCAUUUAUUAUUAAAUAAUAUUUACUAUUGUUGAAUUUUGAACAGCAUUUGAAGCACAUUCUAUUCAUAUAAAACCAAGUGUAAAAAAAUCAGAUAAUUCAUGUACAUAAAUCAUUAUGUGCCUACGAAAUAUCUUAUGAGAAACAUAAAAGUGUAUAAAUAGAAGUGUAGAAGUACAGAAAUGUGUUUUUAUUAAAGAAGAGCAGGCCUAAAAAAAGAAAAAUAGAUGACUAGUCUCAAAAGUACCAGUAGUAAAAUGCCUAGAAAGGAAACCAUAAAAACAGGAGAUUUUCAAUAAGUUAUGUUGCAACAAUUGAUAAGAUAAGUUUUAUUGAUCCAAUCAAAUGGAAAUUCGGUUUGACAACAAUUGACAACCUCAAUGUAACUACUGUACAAUAACAAUAUAGAUGCACAAUAUAGAUGCACAUACGAACGACAUUCGCACACGUAAAACACAUACACACUCAUAAUCAGCGCUUUAUAAAUAGACUUCUAUGUACUUCUCGAUGACGACAGAAUGUUAAUUUUUAAUGUUGGUCAUCCAGGGUCUAUUAUUACUGAAUGUUUUAAUUUUCUAGUUUGGUACAAUAAUGUUUUUACGAAACUGGAUGUAGGAAUUAACAGUUGUGGUAAGUUCAUCUGUCUGGGCAGUUGUUUACAAAUAUGUCCCAAUCUGUUUGCUCCGGACAACUUUGUAGCUGUAAAACAGCGUCGUCAGACCAUGACUGGAUGGACUGUACUUCAGGUUUUGUUUUUAAAACCGGUUUGUACGUGGAUGUAAGAUGGAUCAUUGUGUGGUCUGACUCUCCAAGGGGAAAUAACGAUCGAGAUGUAUAGGCCAUUUUUAUGUUGCUAUAACACAUGUCCAAGGUUUUAUCGUGCCGGGUGAGACAAUUAACAUAUUGAGUAUAUGUUUUAGUACAUGUGAUGUGAUAUUCUAUAUCACUUGUCAUUCUUUCUAUUUAAAUGUGUUUGUAACUUAUUAUGAGAAUGUGCUCAUGUUAGAUAUAUGUAAUGUGCUGGUUCAUUAAGUAUAUUAAGUCAUGCAAGACAGA